GUCAGAGGAAACGUGCCCAACUUGCUGCAAAACAAUAACACAAAAGGUCUGGACUAUGGAGUGCAGCAUUACUUGUUUGGUCAUCUACAUUCAGAUGAAAACACCACACUCCUCUCUAAUUCAAGAUGUCAAGCCUACUCAUCGCAAGGAGAGUUAGCAUCAAAAUGGAUGUGUCACUGACCAAUAACACAGAGAUGCCAGAAGUAUCUGUUUGCUGUCUACUUUUUGUUAAGUACUAUGGAGCAUCCAAAAGCCAUCACUCAGUUAAUUUCAA